rnacentral:rRNA from 1 species
AACGUAGGACACAAGCGUUAUCCGGAGUUACUGGGCGUAAAGGGCGUGUAGGCGGCCCGGUAAGUCCGCUGUGAAAGUCCAGGGCUCAACCCUGGAAUGCCGGUGGAAACUGUCGGGCUGGAGUCCGGAAGAGGCGAGUGGAAUUCCUGGUGUAGCGGUGAAAUGCGCAGAUAUCAGGAGGAACACCAAUGGCGAAGGCAGCUCGCUGGGACGGUACUGACGCUGAGACGCGAAAGCGUGGGGAGCAAACAGG